rnacentral:rRNA from 1 species
AGUGGACGCUGGCGGUAGGCCUAACACAUGCAAGUCGAACGGCAGCACAGUAAGAGCUUGCUCUUACGGGUGGCGAGUGGCGGACGGGUGAGGAAUACAUCGGAAUCUACUUUUUCGUGGGGGAUAACGUAGGGAAACUUACGCUAAUACCGCAUACGACCUACGGGUGAAAGCAGGGGAUCUUCGACCUUGCCCGGUUGAAUGAGCCGAUGUCGGAUUAGCUAGUUGGCGGGGUAAAGGCCCACCAAGGCGACGAUCCGUAGCUGGUCUGAGAGGAUGAUCAGCCACACUGGAACUGAGACACGGUCCAGACUCCUACGGGAGGCAGCAGUGGGGAAUAUUGGACAAUGGGCGCAAGCCUGAUCCAGCCAUACCGCGUGGGUGAAGAAGGCCUUCGGGUUGUAAAGCCCUUUUGUUGGGAAAGAAAAGCAGCAGGUUAAUACCCCGCUGUUCUGACGGUACCCAAAGAAUAAGCACCGGCUAACUUCGUG